AAGGCUGUAGCUCAGUUGGUAGAGCAUUUGCCUAGCAUGCAGAAAGCGUUGUGUUCCACCCUUA
rnacentral:tRNA from 1 species